rnacentral:lncRNA from 8 species
CAACAAAAACUGGACAAAUGCAUAAAUAUUUUUAUUUUGCGAGGGAGUGAACAUCCGUCACCUCACCAGCAGACAGAACAGUGUUCAUUUUGUUCUUGAGCGGCCUGUUGAGAGAUGUGAUACCUUUGGAUUCAAAAUGAGUCUGACCGGGAUUGAUGUGAUAUGAGGACGUAAUAUUAUGACCUUUGCUCAUGAAGCUGCAAUUUUCAGCAAAUAAUGUUCUGUCUGCCAAGUGGAUGCUCUGUUGGCACAGGUAAGAUACCCCCCCCCCCCCCUGCCUUAUCAGUGGCUUGGGGAGGUAUCCCUGGAGAUGUUCCCCCCUACAAAGAACUGGUUGAGCCUGCCUCCAUAGGCCCCAUGACCCCCUUGGCAAAACAACAGGUUCAUUCAGCAGCACAGCACCACUGCUGACCUCAUUGUCUCUUUGUGAAGGGAAAAUCCAGAGUUGCAUUCUGUGAAAUGGCAAAUGGUCAACCAGCUGCGAGCAGAGCGCAUCUCUGUCUCUAACCUAACACAGGCCUACAGAUGAGCGCUGAAGAGCCCAGUGCCACACUCUCCUCUGGACAACAUAACAUACAAGGAAAACAUGAAUCUUGAUGGAGAUAUAUUAUCUGUGAUUGAGAAUCCUGUGGCUGUCAGUCAUCCUUUUCACCCAGAGAAGACAGGAGUGGGGGGGCCCCAAGGAGCUCAGAGUCAGAGCUGCCAUGCCUGGCUGAGAGGAAUCCAUUCUACAAACCACGUGUCAGCCCAUAGACUGGUGAGAGUACUGGUUGCUGUGUGUGCAGUAGGACUUCUGGGAGGCUUAGCAGUCGGAGUGUGGUUCCUAGUCAGGUUGUUGUUGCGGCCUACCUCUUCCCAGAGUCCAGCAGGGCUAGGGGACACCAAGGAGACGUCUUUCUGUAAUGUGACCGAGGACAUCUCGGUGGCUGACCCCAGGAAAGUGUUUUACAGAAUCAGCCCAGAGAACUCUCUCCUGGAGAUCCAGCUAGAGAAGGUGCCCACCUGGCUGCCUGUGUGCUAUGAGAGAUGGAACUCUUCCCUGGGGACCCUGGUCUGCCGCCAGCUGGGAUAUCUAAGGCUAGUCAACUGA